AGCGAACGCUGGCGGCAGGCUUAACACAUGCAAGUCGAGCGGGCACUUCGGUGUCAGCGGCAGACGGGUGAGUAACACGUGGGAACGUACCCUUCGGUUCGGAAUAACGCUGGGAAACUAGCGCUAAUACCGGAUACGCCCUUUUGGGGAAAGGUUUACUGCCGAAGGAUCGGCCCGCGUCUGAUUAGCUAGUUGGUGGGGUAAUGGCCUACCAAGGCGACGAUCAGUAGCUGGUCUGAGAGGAUGAUCAGCCACACUGGGACUGAGACACGGCCCAGACUCCUACGGGAGGCAGCAGUGGGGAAUAUUGGACAAUGGGCGCAAGCCUGAUCCAGCCAUGCCGCGUGAGUGAUGAAGGCCUUAGGGUUUUAAAGCUCUUUUGUCCGGGACGAUAAUGACGGUACCGGAAGAAUAAGCCCCGGCUAACUUCGUG
rnacentral:rRNA from 1 species